AGAAUCAUCAGGUGGUGAAGCCAGCCUGACUUGUGUCCUUCCCUUCAUGGUGGUAAUUAUCCAGUUGAUAUUUAUCUUGUUCCAGUCACCUUUAGAAAGCUGUUUGUUUAGGAUCAGGGACCUUUUGCUGUGGAAUCACCAAUGAAUCAAGACCCCUGUGGAAAAUGCAAUUAAUUAAUCAAACUCAAUAACAGCACAAAAGUAACAACUCAGGUGAAAAGAAAACUCACUUAUGUCUUCAAUGUCCAAUCAACAUUGCCAAAUGGGAGAACAGUUUUGGAAAUCACUAGUGGGUAAAAAAGACCAAUUUGCAACUAGGCUCUCAUGCUCUGUUGAAAACUAUGUCACAAUAUCACAAUACUAGAUGCUGGGCUCAAGACAGCAAACAGAAAGCAGCAAGGGCAGUGACUGGAAGCUGGGAGAGAGGGUCAACAGCUGAAUC
rnacentral:lncRNA from 10 species